AGGGCACCACCAGGCGUGGAGCCUGCGGCUUAAUUUGACUCAACACGGGGAAACUCACCAGGUCCAGAUGAAAUAAGGAUUGACAGAUUGAGAGCUCUUUCUUGAUUUUUCAGGUGGUGGUGCAUGGCCGUUCUUAGUUGGUGGAGUGAUUUGUCUGCUUAAUUGCGAUAACGAACGAGACCUUAACCUGCUAAAUAGCCAGGCUAGCUUUGGCUGGUCGCCGGCUUCUUAGAGGGACUAUCGGCUCAAGCCGAUGGAAGUUUGAGGCA
rnacentral:rRNA from 1 species